GAAGUGCGAUAAGCAAUGCGAAUUGCAGAACCGUGAGUCAUCAGAUUUUUGAACGCAACUGGCGCUGGUUGGUUAUCCAGCCAGCAUGCUUGUUUCAGUGUCUCCUUAUCCCCUCACCCAAAUCUUAAUGCGAGAGAUGCCCUUCUCUCGUCAAGCAUGAAAGCGCUCUGCGCUCUGCGAGCGACUCCGACUCGUUCGAGGUCGCACUCAAUGCAGUGGUCACAUUGUUCACAAUGUGAACUCAUUGAGAGUAGAGGCAGUGCAGCUCCGGCUGCCAGCGCUUAGGCACUCAAACUUUACUUGUAUCUGAAAUCAAGCAGGACCACCCGCUGAACUUAAGC
rnacentral:misc_RNA from 1 species